rnacentral:rRNA from 1 species
GAUGAACGCUGGCGGCGUGCCUAAUACAUGCAAGUCGAGCGAACGGACGAGAAGCUUGCUUCUCUGAUGUUAGCGGCGGACGGGUGAGUAACACGUGGAUAACCUACCUAUAAGACUGGGAUAACUUCGGGAAACCGGAGCUAAUACCGGAUAAUAUUUUGAACCGCAUGGUUCAAAAGUGAAAGACGGUCUUGCUGUCACUUAUAGAUGGAUCCGCGCUGCAUUAGCUAGUUGGUAAGGUAACGGCUUACCAAGGCAACGAUGCAUAGCCGACCUGAGAGGGUGAGCGGCCACAGUGGAACAGAGACACGGUCCAGACUCCUAGGGGAGGCAGCAGUAGGGAAGCUUCCGCAAUGGGCGAAAGCCUGACGGAGCAACGCCGCGUGAGUGAGGAAGGUCUUCGGAUCGUAAAACUCUGUUAUUAGGGAAGAACAUAUGUGUAAGUAACUGUGAACAUCUGGACGGUACCUAAUCAGAAAGCCACGGCUAACUACGG